rnacentral:tRNA from 1 species
CAUUAAGAAGCUAUGAAUCAGCAUUAGCCUUUUAAGCUAAAGAAAGAGGGAAUCCCCUCCUUAAUGA